GUAUUAAAUCUGUCUACAUUACUUAGAAAAUAUUGUUAGUAAGCGGGCUGAUAAAUUUGAGAACUUCACUUAUUUAUAUUUUACACUGUUUUCAAUCAAGCACUGGAAUUUCUGACUUCAUGUGAACUCACCACAGCGUUUCUACGAGGCGCUCGCGCUGCGCUCCCUCCUCCCCUUUUGCUGGCUUCGUCAGACGACUAGAGAGAGAAACUCCUGGUGGUUUAUCGACUGUUUGGCUGAGAGAUUGUUUGCUGCUUCCUGUGCUUCUGCUGCGACUCCGAGAGAACGGGUUUCAGGAUUCCUGCUUUGUCUGGUGUCCUGGUGUCCUCCACCUCUCUACCCCUCCCCCCCUCUACCUCUAUCAUUUUUGGAUAUCUAUCUUUCCUGUCACUCUAGUGCAUAUCUAUCUACAUAUUGGUUAUUCUAUCUUGUAUCAAUCUAUCCCUCAUCUAUCUUUAGCACCUUAUACCCCAGAUAGGGUGGUGCGCCAUUAGCACCUUAUACCCCAGAUAGGGUGGUGCGCCAUAUUGGUUUUUGAUCUUUUUGGAUUCUGAUAUAUGACACCAGAAAUAUAUGCUACCUGAUAUAUUGGACAAAGUUGUAUGGUUCUCUGAUCUUCUGUCUUAAUGGACUCUCAUUAUUGGCCUUUCUGAAAUAUUUGGUUAUAAACCCUCAUCGGUAGUCCGUGGUGAUCCUGCUGAGGUCUAUCUGUUCUAAUCCUGAGAGCAUCUCCGCCCUCACGCUCUAUCUCUCCGCUGUUCUGUCCUGUCCUGCACCCUUGCACUUAGAAUUGGAAAGAACAUAGUUAACUGGAAUUGCUAUACAAUAAAAAUACUCUUCCAGAUUUGACAUAAACAUUUAACAUUAAUUGGACCAAAGACAAAUACAGUUAUUUGAAAUAUAAGCUUGUACAUUUGCAGCAGAAUAAAGAAGUCAAUACACAAAAAAAUUUGGCUGGACUUCAGACAUAUUUUAUACUUUAUAUCAUUUUGAUCUUUUGAUAGAGAUCAGCUCAAUUUAUUCAUCGCCAAAAGUACAUCUUUAUACAGCGCUUGUGAUUUGUAGUUCACUAUUGAGAUAAAUCCACACAUAAAAUCCAAUUGGAUUAUAGUAAAAUCCAGAGCACUGUCAUUUAUCUCAGUUUGUUCCUGCUCCUCAUUUUGGACUAACUGAAGGUUUGUGAUCUGUAAGUAUUUGUACUGCACUCACUUAAAGUUUGUUAUUUGUGUUAAAAUAUAUAAAUAAAAGUAAAAAAUAACCGCUAGAA